GAUGGAAUUUGAGUCAUACCAUUUCUUGCUGUAACUUAUCCCGCUCCUGGGUGGUAGUUCUGCUCUCUUCUCUCAGCUUUAUUAUCAUUUUUUCAGCCUGCAAAUCAGAAAGUUUGUGUUUCACUUCAGAAAGUAUUAUCUGGAAUAUAAGAUUAAAAUCUUAGUUUAUCAAGCAUUAUAAGCUCCAUGUUUCAGGAGGAUCUCAUUCUGAACUAUUGAUUUGUCCUGUCCAAAAUAUUACCUCUUCCAAUUUUACUUCGAGACCAUUGAGCUUUGACUUCAGGUUCUGAACAUCUUCCGUUACCUGUCCAAAAUACAGAGCAACUUCAAUAAAA
rnacentral:sRNA from 1 species